rnacentral:rRNA from 1 species
GUGGGGAAUAUUGGACAAUGGGCGAAAGCCUGAUCCAGCAAUGCCGCGUGAGUGAAGAAGGCCUUAGGGUUGUAAAGCUCUUUUACCCGGGAAGAUAAUGACUGUACCGGGAGAAUAAGCCCCGGCUAACUCCGUGCCAGCAGCCGCGGUAAUACGGAGGGGGCUAGCGUUGUUCGGAAUUACUGGGCGUAAAGCGCACGUAGGCGGCUUUGUAAGUUAGAGGUGAAAGCCCAGGGCUCAACCCUGGAACUGCCUUUAAGACUGCAUCGCUUGAACACGGGAGAGGUGAGUGGAAUUCCGAGUGUAGAGGUGAAAUUCGUAGAUAUUCGGAAGAACAUCAGUGGCGAAGGCGACACCCUGGACCGAUACUGACACUGAGGUGCGAAAGCGUGGGUAGCGAACAGGAUUAGAUACCCUUGUAGUCC